GACGAACCGUGCGAACGUUAUUCGGAAUCACUGGGCUUAAAGCGCGUGUAGGCGGGACGGCACGUCGGUCGCUGAAAGCCCCCGGCUCAACCGGGGAACGGGCGCCGAUACGACCGGCCUGGAGGGACGUAGGGGGACCUGGAACUUCCGGUGGAGCGGUGAAAUGCGUUGAGAUCGGAAAGAACACCAACGGCGAAGGCACUCUGCUGGGCCGACACUGACACUGAGAGACGAAAGCUAGGGGAGCAAAUGGG
rnacentral:rRNA from 1 species